AGUAGUUUGAUCAGUGGCUCAGGACGACGCUGGCGGCACGCUUAACACAUGCAAGUCGAACGGAGAUAAUUUGAGUUUACUUAGAUUAUCUUAGUGGCGGACGGGUGAGUAACACGUGAGCAACCUACCUUUGAGAGAGGGAUAGCUUCUGGAAACGGAUGGUAAUACCUCAUAACGUAGUUUUACCGCAUGAUAGGACUACCAAAGAUUUAUCACUCAAAGAUGGGCUCGCGUCUGAUUAGCUAGAUGGUGAGGUAACGGCUCACCAUGGCGACGAUCAGUAGCCGGACUGAGAGGUUGAACGGCCACAUUGGGACUGAGACACGGCCCAGACUCC
rnacentral:rRNA from 1 species